GACGGAGAAGGCUAUGUCGGCCGGGCGACGGUUGUCCCGGUUUAAGCGUGUAGGCUGACUUUCCAGGCAAAUCCGGAAGGUUAAGGCUGAGGCGUGAUGACGAGGCACCACGGUGCUGAAGUGACAAAUGCCCUGCUUCCAGGAAAAGCCUCUAAGCAUCAGGUAACAUUAAAUCGUACCCCAAACCGACACAGGUGGUCAGGUAGAGAAUACCAAGGCGCUUGAGAGAACUCGGGUGAAGGAACUA
rnacentral:rRNA from 1 species